AUUUCCAUGUAAACAAAAUAUAACAUUACAUGUAUAUAAUAUAUAAGAAUAUAUCCAAGAGUUUCAGAAGAUUCUUACGUUUUUACUAACUGUCCAACUUACUCAUCUACAAUGCUCGCGAAGGUGUUUUUAGCUAUAACAUUAGUUAUUGUGAUAUUCUUUACUGGUACUGGGAGUAUUCCUUUAGAACAAAGUGAUCACACUAAUCAGAGUAAUCACAUUAUCACAAAUAAAGAUGGCUGUUUAUCAUGUAAGAUACCGAACAACACACCAAAACCUCCUUCUUGUGGACCAUGCCAAAGCUUAGUGUUUAAUAAGUGUAAAAACACAUAUAAUGGUAAACAAUGUCCACGUACUCCCCCUGCCCGUCAGGCCAAUUAACGUACGAGGAUAUACGCCUACUAUGAUUACAAAGAUGGAGGAAAUACUAGUGAAUAAUAAUUAUUAGAUAGUAAUUUAGUCCUUGAGUUAAACUAGUCAGAUAAAUAUACCAAAAAUAAGAAAAUAUCUAAUGUAACUCCAACUUUUGCUAUAAGUUUAUUCCUAUAACGUAUUUAAACACGAGGAAGCAAGUAUUUAUUUUAAAAUGUUUUAGCAGGUAUAAAUCAUAUAUUUGUGUACUUUCAACUAAAAAAAUGUAAAUGACAUUCAUUGAAAAAAUAAAUUUUGUAUUUGUUGUGUAACUGUAGCUAUAUAAUAAUUUUAUUGGUAAUAUGUUUUAAAAGUGAGACUAUUAGCUUAAGAUAAAACCUAAUAAAUGUUUUAUAAAACA